CAUAGCGACUAUCGUGGCAUAUCAAUAAGCGGAGGAAAAGAAACUAACAAGGAUUCCCUUAGUAACGGCGAGUGAAGCGGGAAGAGCUCAAAUUUGAAAUCUUCAAGGUUUUACCUUGACGAAUUGUAGUUUAAAGAAGUGUUUUCUGUUGAAGUUUUGGUAAAAGUUCUUUGGAAUAGGACAUCAUAGAGGGUGAGAAUCCCGUAUUUGACCAUUAUUUUCAGCUGUGUGAUACACUUUCAAAGAGUCGGAUUGUUUGGGAAUGCAGUCCAAAAUGGGUGGUAAAUUUCAUCUAAAGCUAAAUAUUGGCGAGAGACCGAUAGCGAACAAGUACCGUGAGGGAAAGAUGAAAAGAACUUUGAAAGGAGAGUUAAACAGUACGUGAAAUUGUCAAAAGGGAAGCGUUUGACACCAGUGUUGUUUUCUCGAAAAUCAAUUAAAAAAGGCCGGAUUUUGUGUUGUAUUGACCUUAAAAGCUUUCUUCACUCUUUUCUUGUCUUUUUUAAUGCACUUUUCGUUUAACAAGUCAACAUCAGUUUCUUUUGUUGUAAAAGGGUCAUUGGAAGGUGGCUUUCUUUUCGGAGAAAGUGUUUAUAGCCUUUGAUCUCUGCAACCGGAGAGACUGAGGUCUGCAGCGUAGACUCUUCGGGGUUAGAUACAUUUGUGCUAAGCUAUAGCUUUUUAUAGACAACUUGUUGACUAUAUUUAGUCUUGUAGCUUACUCGCUUAUGCUAUUUUACCUACGCUUAGGAUGUUGAUAGUCACAGCGUGUAC
rnacentral:rRNA from 1 species